rnacentral:rRNA from 1 species
CCUACGGGUGGCAGCGGUGAGGAAUAUUGGUCAAUGGCCGCAGGGCUGAACCAGCCAAGUCGCGUGAGGGAUGACGGUUCUAUGGAUUGUAAACCUCUUUUGUCAGGGAGCAAAGGGCGCCACGUGUGGCGCUUUGCGAGUACCUGAAGAAAAAGCAUCGGCUAACUCCGUGCCAGCAGCCGCGGUAAUACGGAGGCUGCGAGCGUUAUCCGGAUUUAUUGGGUUUAAAGGGAGCGUAGAUGGGUUGUUAAGUCAGUUGUGAAAGUUUGCGGCUCAACCGUAAGAUUGCAAUUGAUACUGGCAGUCUUGAGUACAGUUGAGGGAGGCGGAAUUCGUGGUGUAGCAGUGAAAUGCUUAGAUAUCACGAAGAACCCCGAUUGCGAAGGCAGCUUACUAAACUGUGACUGACAUUGAUGCUCGAAGGUGAGGGUAUCAAACGGGAUUAGAUACCCCAGUAGUC